AAAUAUGAAUGUCAUUUAAUCACUUCUGACGAAAAUAGAUAGAGAAAUUUUUAACCUAGGGUUUGGUUUAUAAACCCGAAAGAAGAGAUUUUGAAAUUCUAGUGCGAGAGCAAAAUCCACUGGCCAAGAUCGAGGUUUACCAAUUCUUGUUUUGUCAUGUCAGGCGACCAACCUCAACCUCCUCCCCCGUUCCAUGUAGAUUUUGCUAUCCAUCAAACGGAAAGUUGUUCGGGAACUAUUAGGUGGGAUAGAGCACUUACGUAAAAUUGCACAUUUGCGGGAUCAAGAAUAUACUGAGCUACAACAACAUUAUAACGCCCCGCAGAGAAUUCAGGAAAUUCAGAAGAGAAGGGAUAGGAAAUUCAGAAGAGAAGGAUGACAUUCAAAGAGAAAUAAAUAAUCUUCGGAAUGAAUUUCUGCACGUGAUCUCUUCCCACAUUAUCUUGCCGAGUAACCAACCAUAAUAAAUCACUCUCAGACAAACUUUCAACGAGUGCUAACGAUAUAGUUUUUGUGACAAAAGUUGCUGAAUAAAUCACUCAGAAUGAAACAAUAGUUACUUUU